ACACAUUUAAUUAGCUAUUCUACUCCAAAAGUUGGUCAGCACAGUAAUCUCAUUGGAAUAGUGAAAGUGCACCAUGUAAUGACUUUUCAAAAAAUGAAUUUGGUAGGACGAGAUAUAAAUUCAGCAAAUGGUAAGCAGAGCCAAAUCAGCAUCAGCCAGUUUUCCUGUAGAACUUGUGAUACAAGUUGUGAGCCUUGUGAUCCACGGAUCCCGUAAUUACCACAAGCAGUGCUGGCAUGAAAUAUCCAGUCUGCUUUGCUCACUGAGCUCUAAAAGCUGGGCUUACACUCACCAUGGACUAUUCAGCUCCUGGGGCUCUUCACCUCACAGAUGAGGUAGCACCUUGUUUCACUCUGAAAAGGAUGUAGUUCACCGAUGAAAAACUAGGAAAAGCUUUUGCUCUUGAGGGAAAGGACACACUUUAGACAAGAUAUAAAUGUGAUCUUGCUGACCAGCACACUCAAUCUCUCAGGGUAGUCAAGGGCCUGCCCAUCUGCCAGCUGCCAUGUUUCUGUGUCCUGUGCCAUUAUGGUUCACUGCUGUGAACUCAGGCUGAGGGUGUUUGCUCCACUCAGCCCAAGAAUUUUUAUUGUUGUUGUUGUUUUUAAUUAUAGGAGGAGUAUGUUUUAUAGGGUGCUCAGGAAAGGCCCUUUUUUUUUGGUGAGGAAGAUUGGCCCUGAGCUAACAUCUGUUGCCAAUCUUCCUCUUUUUUUUUUUCCUUUCUCCCCAAACACCCAGUACAUGGUCGUAUAUCUUAGUUGUAGGUCAUUCUAGUUCCUUUAUGUGGGAUGCCACCUCAGCAUGGCUUGACAGGUGGUGCUAGAUCCGUGCCCAGGAUCCAAACCUGCAAACCUGAUGCCAGCGAAGUGGAGCAUGAAAACUUAACCACUCGGCCACAGGGCGGGCCCCGGCCCAAUAGUUUUAAGCUGCUGAUUCUUAGAGAACAGUGGUCAUUCUCAACAUUGGGCAGGAGACUCCUGAAGUCUGAGGACUCACUAAUCUCUAUAGAUUUUGCACUUGGAGCAUCAAUCAGCACCUGUACUUAUUAGCAGAAGGUGUCCAGACUGAGCCAACAGCCUUGCCAAUAGUGGUCCAGAUAUCCAAAAGUAAGAGAACACCUCUGAACGCCAAUGCUCCAGAAGAGUCCUAAGAGGGAAGACUUCUGCCACUUAGCAAGAGGCCCAGCUGUAAGUUUCUUUUCUCAGCAAAACAUGUCCCCUUGAGCUCAUCAUGAUAGGCAGGACUUUUCAUCAGCAUAUUCAAAAUGCAAAAGCCAAGAAUAGGAGGUAAAAAGGACCAUAAAAGCAUGAUGAGGAGAUCCCUAUGGAAGAUGAAACACUGCAGAAGACAAGAAAGCAGCAAUCCUGACGGUGAAGAGUAGAGAAACCCUUACAAAGGCAGCAGAUCUCCUGGGAAACACUGAGUGAAUCCAGUUAUACCGGACAUACAAAGAAAUGGAGGCGUUCAUCUCUUUCAAUCUCCUCGGAUGCAUUAGGGCUAUGAGUGGCCAGCUGGGGCUAUGGGCAAGGCUGAUCAAAAAACAUUUAAUCUAACAAGAGUAUUACCAUUGCAAUGAUAGAAAGAUCAAAUAUGACAAUAACAACCUAGAAAAAGACAGCAGAUUGCAAGGUAUGAUGACGUGCCAAGUAUACGUAAUAGAGGCAAAUAUCCCGGUGGGUGUCUGAGUCUAGUGCAGAAGACGAUCUUAAGUGUAUUCCCAUACUUAAGAAUUUUCUAAAAACUUAUAAAAAUAAAUCUCUUUUGAGUAACAAUUCUCUUUAGUUAAUCUCGAUUAUGUCCAUUUUCUGUCCCAUUACUUUUCAUGUCUAAUUUUGAUCAACUUAAAUAUACACCUGAAACUGGCUUAGGUAAGUAUUCAAAUCAGAUGAAAAUACAUUUUCAUAUUAGAAACCCUGCCCUGAAUAUAUACUUCUGUGGAGGUUCAGCAUGCAUAUUAAGAUGUGAUAGAUUAGUCAAGAGAAUAUUAGUCAAAAAAUAUUUGCAUGCUGGAAGGAACUGCUUCCUUAGGACACUGAAUAAAGGACUUAUUAUGAACCUAUAAUAGUUCAUAGCAUUUUCAUAGCAUGCCGUUAUUAUGACUGUUUCACAUACUGGUAAUGGAGGAAUCUAGUUGGAGAAAACUCUUCUUAUUGUUAGUGAACUUGGAAAAAUUUAUUUUGCUGUUUUAAAGUCUGAAUAAAAGGCAUCUGGGAAUUGGAAAUCAGGAGGGCGACGGUCACCAUGUGAUUGUUUAGAACAUGUUGAAUUGUGCCACAGUCUGAAAGGAGGCAAAAAUAGCUUAGGAAAGGAGAAUUUAAUCUGGCUGGAGAAAGGGAAUAGAGUAUAAAUAAAUUUUAAAGGUUGGCUAUGCACGCUAUGGCAAAGCUGUCACUUGACAGGUUUAAUUUACAGAGCUGGCAUUUAGACCUCAGAUAAUCCAGGCAGACACCGACCUAAGUAAGCAGCAUGACCAGGAUAAGCUUACAUAAGGAGAAAUGCUCUUGAACGGUUUGAGGCAAACACCAUAACAUUUACUUCACAAAAAAGCUUCAGGAGUCGUGCUUUUUCCCUCCUCUAACACAACUGUUUUUUAACUGGGCAUGUUCAACAAACAUUGCUAUCUUACUGUAUUUCUACAGCUCAUUUCAUCACUGGAAGAUACUGAAUGAGAAAAAAGGAGUAUAGGAGCAUUUCACAAUUUCUUCUAUUUAAGAUAGUUGUCAUAUCUACCACGUGUGUCUUGAAUCCUAGACAUAAUAAUACACAUGGUAGAUGUGCAACCAAUAUUAGUUUGGAUAUGGUCAGGUUACUUUCCCACCUGAAAUCCUUUUGGGGCAUCCCGUUCCCAGUUUUUCUAAGUGUUCUUUGCAGGCUCCUUUUAGUCUCUCAAUCCCUUUAACAGUGGGGUUUCGUCCUAGGGCCUCCUGGCCCCACUCUGCACGCUCCCACAGCUUUGGCUAUCUACCUUCCCUCCCUCCCUCCCCAACACUUAUUUGUUAAAUGUGUGGCAUAGGCCAGGCACUCUGCUAUCUCAGGAUGAACAACAUAUACAUGGUUUCUGCCUCUAAGGGAACUGACAUACAGACGAGGAAAGAGAUACCAAGUAACUAAGCAAAGAAUAUAAUUAUUAGUUGUAAUAUGUGCUGUCAGGGAGGUACACAGAAUAGCUGGAGUGACUGACUUUAGACAGGAAGUUAUGGGCUGUGUCUCCCAGGAGACCCAGACCUAAGUGACGAGAAUGAAUCACAGACAGAGGAGGAGGGAGAGAUUCUUGGUGGAGGACAUGGCAGUGCAAAUGCCAUGGAAAGUAAGGAAAGGAAGGAAAGUAAGGAAAGGAAGCCAGAGCUGGCCUGGAGAUCUGGCAGGGACCAGACCACUCAGGGCCUUCCUUGUAGGCCAGGAUUCACCCGAAGUGAUAGUGACAUGCUGAUCUCUUUGGCGGAGCCUUUACGCGAAGAAUUCUAGACUUAACUUCCCCUCUUGUAUCAUCC
rnacentral:lncRNA from 1 species